rnacentral:sRNA from 12 species
AAUUUUAAACAAUCUACUAGAUAACCAAGUGCAGAGAGGGUGAUACCUUGCUUGGAUUAUGUGCAUAAUUCCCGUUGCGCUUGUUGUGAGAUAUUGCAGGAAGAUAAGCAACUCUCUUCUGGGCGAUCGGAAGAGGUCAUGAAGUGUAAGAAGAUUGAGGGUGUACAUAGUAUAGAGAUUGUGCGUAGUUAGAUCAUUAUCAUACGGUGGCGGUGAUAAUAGACGCUCUCUGUGAGAGAAUAAUCUGGAUAGGCCUUAUGUAGCAGUAAGAACCAACCCAGAAAUGCUAAAAUAAACCGUUUUGCACUUGAGGCCGAGCAAUCGGCCAAUAACGCUAAAGAUAAGUAUAAGUAGCCCAAAUUGUGCAGAGAAUUUACAAGAUAUAUUGUGCUAAAAUAUUAAUCUGAAUGUCGGGUGAAAGUUGGACGUAACCAGUCGUGCCUAGCCAUUAAACCGCUACGGAAGUUACAGGGUCGCUCCUUGUGGCUCAGACCGUGGUAGGCUAUCGGUCAAUAAAUUGCGUACAAUCGAAGUAGAGCGAAGGCUCAUUUGAUAGAUUGUUUAAAG